UGAGAAGUGAUGGAAGUGUAAAACACACACCAGAAUUUGAACACUUAUUAAGGAAAAAAGGCAAAAGGCCUCAUUAAUAUUUUUAUUAGUAAUAUUUGGUAUAAUAUUUUGGCUAUAUUGGGUUCAGUGAAACAUAUGAUUAAAAUUUUUCUCCCCUCUUCAUUUUUUGCCCUUUUAAAUGUGACUACUAGGAAACUGAAAUUUGCAAUUCGGGGUUCACAUUAUAUUUUCACUAGGCAGCAUUGCUUUAUAGAAAAUGAUUGCCAGAUUAUUUUUGUAUGAAAAGAUGCCAAAGUAUGCAGGCAAAUAUGUAGGAAAAUAUAUUACUUUUCUGAAUCUUGUAAUGCUUGCAGAUUUUUCAGCUUUUAAAAUUUUGUAAUGUGUUGUGUAGCAUCAUUUAAAAUAAAGAUUUACUGUCAUAAAAAUUUUUGUCUUUAUAAUUCUGCAUUCUCUUUUUUAAAGAAGUAGCCCAAAGUGUAUUAGCUUCAUGACCCACCAAACCUGGACCUGCCCUGGGGUCAGGCACAACACUUUACAAACGGGCCGAAGAACAUUAGUUAGCUCAACAGUGGACUGUCGUAAUAGACAGACCUGCUCGGUACCCUGCAGGCUGUCCCACGCAGUGCAAAGUCCUUCCUUUCCUCAGCAGUGAUGGUAAAGAGGAGGGAAAAAAUGGAUUAACAAAAUUCAGUUUAUACAAAUAAACAAGAAGCAAGCACCUCUGGAAAGAAAGGACAACUCUGUUACAAAAAGGGCUGAGUAAACCUGUGGGCAGGGGUAGGAAUGAGGGAAGUCAGACUCGGCUUGUUUGUGAGUCUAAGUUUAUGCUGCAGGACACAAUUGGAAUCUUCCAGUAACUGCAUUUAAGGACAAUGAAAAAAGCAGGAAUUUAAAGAGAGCUGGGUGACCCUGAAUAAGAGACUCUCUUAGACUUCAAAUUUGAACCCUGGGGACUGGAGCUGUGUUUUAGUCCACCACAGCAUCAAACAUGAGAAAAUGCAAAACCGGAAUCAGGAUUUCCUGGCAUAUUAGUUAGCCUAGUGAUGUAGUGUACAGUGUAUAAGAGUGUAUAGUAGGAGUGUGUAAUAUAGUGUGUAAUAUGCAUGUAGAGUGGGUGUGUAUAGAACCAGUGUAUAGGAUGUAUAUGUAGCUCAAUGUACACUAAGUGUAUUUAGCAUAGUGUAUAAAACGUGUAUAUAGUACAUAGUAGAUUUAUAUCAUACAGUGUGUAGUAUGUGUCUAUAGCAUAUUGUAUAACAUUUGUAUGUAGCACAGUGAAUAUAUAGCAUAUAGUAUAUACAUAGUAUAUCUAAUAUGGUAUAUAGUAUGUAUACAUUGUACAAUGUACAGUAUGUGUAUACAGCAUAGUAUUUACAGUGUGUAUGUAGCACAGUGCCCUACAGAGAAUGUAGCAUAUACUGUGUAGGUAAUAAGUGCAUAUAGCAUAGUGUUUAUAGCAUGGUGUACAGUAAGUGUAUAUAGCAUUGUGUGUAGUAUGUAUACAUAGUACACAGUAUAUGUAUAUAGCACAGUGUGUAGUAUGUAUCUACAGCAUAGUAUUCAUAGCAGUGUAUAAUAUUCCUUUUAAAGACUGAAGGAAAGAAAGGAGAAAGAUGGACAGCUUUAUGGCAGUUAAAUAAUUUCUCCACUUGUGGGGACUCAGGACAACCCAACCCUCAUCUUCGCUGUCUGCUCCUCGAAGGGAACACCUUAGCAGCAUAUCACGCAAUAUUCCAGUUACAAUGAUCAUACUUGACCCUGGUAAUGACUUGCCAGUCACUGAACAUUAUUCUGGCUCCAAGCAUGGGUAUAUUUUAUAAAUUGUUAAUGAUGAGCAAUAAGCAGAAGCACAGAUGAAGUUAUCUUGCAGGUCCUGUGUAGUCAGGGCUCCACUGCCUCUGACAAGAUGAAAGGCUGAUGCAUGAACGCUGCACUCAUUAGCUGCAAUUAAGGAGGUCUUAUGUUUGACGCAGUUUAUUAAUUUUAGAGUAUUUCCCUCAUGCAAUUUGAAGAAUUGCAUAGAAGAGGAGGUAGUUCUUGUGAACAACAGUCUGGAGGCAGAAGCUACCAUUUUUUAUCUGGUGUAAUAAAAAGAAAAUUCAGUACACAGAGGGACUCCUUACAAGGGAUAUAAAGUGAAGUGAGUUCACUGUAAGUAAGUAAGGAGAUUGAUAAGCAGUAGGCAUUUUCUGGUUUAGGUUGAAUGCUAAACAUCUUAUUUUUUCCAAAAGUUAUGUUUCUAAAGAGUAUCUAUAUUGGAAAAGUCUUUGGUCAUAGCAGAUACAAUGUCUUCAAUAAGCAAAUGGCAUAUGGGUGUUUUGACAGCAGGCUCGGUGGGGACGGGAGUGUGUGGUGCAGAGGAAAGGGUGGAUGGAACCGUGGCCCAGACUGGAUACAAUGAGCCCCUCUACUCACCAAGCCCCUCAGCAUCUCUCUGUUCCCACCUGUCUUCACUCAUUGAUCUCAUUUUCAAGAAUAGAUAGUCUCCGGGAACACUUCAGGGCUUGUAAUCAUCUCAUGAUUUUUUUGAAAUUCCUUCCUGUGGAGCUACCUGCUCUCUGCCCAUGAGACACUGAUAGCAGUUCCCGCACUCAGGUUGCAACAGCCAGGAAUGUCUCCAGGUCUUUCUUCCAUCUGGAUUCGCCCUAAGACACCCAGACUCUGGUCAGAGGCCCUCCACAAACCAAGCAGGCUGUGAGCUGUGAGUGCCCAGCAGAACUCACCACCUGCCCCGCACCGCAGGCUCAGUAAGGAUGACGGAGCAGACCGGUGCGCUGCCUUGGAAGGAGUUCCAAAUGUAAGAAGCCGAUCCAAGGAGCCCUGGCAGGGUGUCCAGAGAGCAGCAUGGACGAAGCAGGAGCUGCGAGAAUCAGCUUCUCAUAUCUGCUGGGGCUUAGCACAUGCCUAUUGCACAGUGGGUGCUGAAGAAGAGGUCAAAACUGGGUUUCUCCAUGCUGGUGAUGCAGUUUCCUUAAGUGUUUGAGGCAAGCAAUCCAAUGCACUGGAAAGGAAACAAAACAUAUCUAGAAGAAUCUCUUGAAACAAGUAUCCACAGAUAAUGUGACAACAGGAAUGAGAUCACAGCACCACCGGAUCACUAUGAAGAUCUGAGGGAAACUCAAAAUGUCUGCUUUGCACCUUAUUUUA